CAGUUCUGCAACUUACACCUUUAUAGUAACUGCAGAGAUGUUACUUGCAGAAUCCUUUCAUGUAGAUCAGGUGGAAGGACAAAACUACUCAAGGGGAGGACCAUGGUGGCUUGACUGAUGCCCAAGACUUUCCUAUGAGCUGGGACUUCUCAGUCUUCUGCGUUUUUGACAGUGACAUGGAAAGUCACCGUAACAGAGCCAAGGAGCUGCCACUUGCAGGUAAGCAAAAUCCUUUCCUAUGGCACUGAUGUGUCAGUUCUUAUUAAGCAGAUCAGAAUUUCAGCAAAGAUUAUGAAAAACAGGCAUGUGGGAGGUUGAUACCAGAUAUGGCUAAUGGGAGAUCGGAACAAUGAUGUAUACAUUAUAUUACUUGAAGUUUAUGUGUAAACAUAAAUAUGUUUAAUUUAUAAGAAUGUCUUUUUAACAGCUGAGCUAGCCAGUAGCUGCGUCCUCAGUAGCCCUUCUUUCCAG
rnacentral:lncRNA from 1 species